GCCAUCGUACAUGCUCUGGGUGUCUUGAGGAGCUUGUCUUUGGAUGAUGCUGAGCAGGUCUUUCUUUCUGGUAAAGAUUAUCAUUACAGUGAAGUAAAAGAAUUUAACAGACAAACAACUGACGAAAGAAGAGAGACCAUUCAAUAGGUGGGUAUUGCUCUUAUAUACUUAAAAAUAUGAAGUUGGGAGUAGGUGUCCUGUUUGGUUCUCCCAACAGUGCAUAAGCUUAAGCCAGAAAUUAUAUAUAUACUGUAUAUAACACUGUAAAGCAAAUGUUUGUUAUUUUACCUCUUAUAUUAAAUAUUGCAUAACAAUUGGUUAACCUUUGAGUUCAUAUACAUGAUUUUACAUAUUCAAGAAUAUAUAUAUAUUCAUUCAUUUUCUUUUCGGCUUAGUCCCUUUAUUUAUCAGGGGUUGCCACAGCAGAAUGAACCGCCAACUUAUCCAGCAUAUGUUUUACACAGUGGAUGCCCUUCCAGCCGCAACCCAGUACUGGGAAACACCCAUUUACACUCAUAGUGUACACUUGAACACGGGGAGAACAUGCAAAUUCUACACAGAAAGGACCACUGGCCCAGCCGGGGCUUGAACCAGCAACCUUCUUGCUGUGAGGCGACGGUGCUAACCACUGUGCUGCCCUAUGUGCUCUAUGCGGGUGAGUGGGAUUGACAAACCACCUGGAGGACACACUCUUGCUGUCUUAAUGCACCAGACAUUUUGUUAUAAAUAAUCAUGUGCGUUUCAUGUUUAUUCAUAUAACUACUAUUUUAUGUCAUAGCACUUCAUUUUUGUCUUGAUAUUUAAUAUGUCUUGUUUAAAUACACUAUGAACAGCAGCUGCGCUAAUUAAUUUCCUUGUUCCCUAUUUCCACCUGGGGAUAUUC
ensembl:processed_transcript